GCCUCUGAUGGUGAUGAAAACCAUAACUUUCAUUCUUCUGAGAUUUCAUGCAGAAUAUUUUGUGGAGACCUGAACUGAGGAGGA
rfam:Spinacia oleracea cultivar SynViroflay scaffold2184.con0003.1, whole genome shotgun sequence.